rnacentral:rRNA from 1 species
UACGAAGGGGGCUAGCGUUGUUCGGAAUUACUGGGCGUAAAGGGCGCGUAGGCGGUGCAUCAAGUCAGGCGUGAAAGCCCCGGGCUCAACCUGGGAACCGCGCUUGAGACUGGUGCGCUCGAGUUCGGGAGAGGAUGGUGGAAUUCCCAGUGUAGAGGUGAAAUUCGUAGAUAUUGGGAAGAACACCGAUGGCGAAGGCAGCCAUCUGGACCGACACUGACGCUGAGACGCGAAAGCGUGGGGAGCAAACAGG